rnacentral:rRNA from 1 species
GAUGAACGCUGGCGGCGUGCCUAAUACAUGCCAGUCGAGCGAACGGACGAGAAGCUUGCUUUUCUGAUGUUAGCGGCGGACGGGUGAGUAACACGUGGAUAACCUACCUAUAAGACUGGGAUAACUUCGGGAAACCGGAGCUAAUACCGGAUAAUAUUUUGAACCGCAUGGUUCAAAAGUGAAAGACGGUCUUGCUGUCACUUAUAGAUGGAUCCGCGCUGCAUUAGCUAGUUGGUAAGGUAACGGCUUACCAAGGCAACGAUGCAUAGCCGACCUGAGAGGGUGAUCGGCCACACUGGAACUGAGACACGGCCCAGACUCCUACGGGAGGCAGCAGUAGGGAAUCUUCCGCAAUGGGCGAAAGCCUGACGGAGCAACGCCGCGUGAGUGAUGAAGGUCUUCGGAUCGUAAAACUCUGUUAUUAGGGAAGAACAUAUGUGUAAGUAACUGUGCACAUCUUGACGGUACCUAAUCAGAAAGCCACGGCUAACUACGUG